UCUGUUUCAAGACAUCGUAUUUAUUUGGGGAGAAAAUUUUGUUCCGGUUUAUAAAUAAUAAUUUAUAAAGUGAGCAUCUCCCAAACAAAAUCUGGGCCACUGUAUAAAACAGACCGAAAUAAAACCAGACUAGGCUGGCUUCCCAGAGAAGGGUGGGGAUGAGGAGGGGGUGGGGUGGGAAACAGAGCACAGCACAGCACAGCAGUAACAGGAGAAGGCCCAACUGAAGAAGAAAAAAAAAUUUCAAUUGUCAAAAAGAUACAAAAUUAAACCUUGUUGCAAAAUAGAUUUUUACAGGCAGUGAUCAUAGCUGUAGACAGAGAAAGAAGCCAGACAUAAUCAAUCAAUAAUCUCUUAUUAGAAUACCACUGAGUGCUCCUAAAACAGUAGAGAGCCACUUGUCAGGCCUAAAGGUGUUGGGGAAAAUUGUCAAGGCAACCCACCACCCAAUAGGAACAGACGUAUCUUGGGCUUCUGAGGUUGUAAAAAAACUCUUGGCUAGAAUUCACUGCAGAGUGAAGAAGCAGGAGGGAGCAAGGCAUGCACACUUGUGGCCCAUCUGCACUUACAGGCCCGCCAGAGCUCUGAUAGCAAAAUCUCCCAAGGGGUACCCACUGACUCUGAGUAGAACACUGAGGACACAGGCUCACCACUGAACUUGGUGCCAAGAGGUUAAAACAAUGAAUCUGUUUCCAAUGCCUCUUUGGGUGGUUUUUUUGUUUUUUUCCACGGAAUCUCUGCUUCCCAUCUCCUUGGUUUAUUCAGCUCCUGUAAAAUACUAUGACUCGCCUAAGAAGGGGAUUACAAGAAUCCUAGACACAGAUGAAAAACUGUUCAAACCGCAAUACCAGUUUGUUCCUAACGACAUCACCCCAGUUCCUAUUUUCAAAAAGAAAUUCUUGGUAGAGGAGUACCAGAACAAUUCUCAAGGCCACACUUGGCUCAAGAAAGAUACUGCAAAUACUGACAUGGACAUGCAAGAAUCAUACACUAACUCAGAUGAAUAUGUGAAAGAUUGUUCUCUGAAGACAAGAAAAAAAGCAACUGGAGUCAAGGUUGAUAAAGUCUAAUUAUAAUAAAUUGCUUGAAUGAAAGAAAAAAAACGGAAGG
rnacentral:lncRNA from 1 species